AAGUCGUAACAAGGUUUCCGUAGGUGAACCUGCGGAAGGAUCAUUAGUGAAUAACCGCUUGUGUCUUCGCUUUGGCAAGGCAUUUGCAACCAAACACAUCUAUAACACCUGUGAACUGUAAGGAAGCAAUUCGAAAGAGUCUUCCUGCCCUUUAUAAACAAUCAGUAGUACGAAAAGUAGUGUCAUUAUAAUCUAACAAAACUUUCAACAAUGGAUCUCUUGGCUCUC
rnacentral:misc_RNA from 1 species